GGAGAGCAUGGAUCCUGAGGUCCCAGGAUUGUCAGCUGACCUCUGUCCUGUGUGCCCAGUGGCCCCAGGUGACGUGUCUUCAAGAAGAGGCUGAGCUGCGGUGCUUGUAAGGUCUCAGCCUUAGAUCCAAGGACAGUCCAAGGAAGUCCUAAGACCAUGGAGUUGGUGAUCUGGGAUCUGGGUUUGCUGAUAUUUCUCACCAUGAAUCUCUUGGUGGUGUUUGUGGGCAUGAGAGGGGCAGAGAAUAGAGAGUGAGGCUACCACAUGAAGCGUCACCAGAGCUGCUCCCUGCUGCCUGCUCAGAGCACCCCGGAUCCACUGUUCAAUCUGCACAAGAUUCGGGGUCCAGACAUGGGAGACUUCAGCUGCCUCAGAGGACCGUGGACAGGGAAGGCCAGCCUCGCAUCCCUCUGUCCAUGCCUGGAAUGACUUUAAUAACCAAGAGUUUUAUUCUUGAAUUUGUAGCUGUCGUUCACUUUUUACCCACCCAUUCAAUAAACCUUACAGAAUUGCUCCA
rnacentral:lncRNA from 1 species